ACGCACGCUGGCGGCAUGCCUAACCCCUGCAAGUCGCACGCGACCUUCGGGUCUAGUGGCGCACGGGUGCGUCACGCGUGGGAACCUGCCCUUAGGUUCGGAAUAACUCAGAGAAAUUUGAGCUAAUACCGGAUAAUGUCUUCGGACCAAAGAUUUAUCGCCUUUGGAUGGGCCCGCGUAGGAUUAGCUUGUUGGUGGGGUAAUGGCCUACCAAGGCGACGAUCCUUAGCUGGUCUGAGAGGAUGAUCAGCCACACUGGGACUGAGACACGGCCCUGACUCCUACGGGAGGCAGCAGUGGGGAAUAUUGGACAAUGGGCGAAAGCCUGAUCCAGCAAUGCCGCGUGAGUGAUGAAGGCCUUAGGGUUGUAAAGCUCUUUUACCAGGGAUGAUAAUGACAGUACCUGGAGAAUAAGCUCCGGCUAACUCCGUG
rnacentral:rRNA from 1 species